rnacentral:rRNA from 1 species
UGUACACUAUGCAUAGGCACGAACAUUCACUACUCAAACUUUGCUUUGAUUGUUUUGGAAACUGUUGUUGUAUAUUGAGGCUUUUUUUGUUGUUCGAGUUCUGUGAUUUUAUAUACCCCAAGUGUAUGUUAACGAACGUUAUAAAGGCUCUGAAGCCUAUAAAUCUAUAGUACAACUUUCAGCAACGGAUCUCAUGGCUCUCGCAUCGAUGAAGAACGCAGCGAAAUGCGAUAAGUAAUGUGAAUUGCAGAAUUCAGUGAAUCAUCGAAUCUUUGAACGCACCUUGCGCUCCUUGGUAUUCCGAGAGCAUGCCUGUUUGAGUGUCAUUAAAUUCUCAUCUCUACACACUUGUGUAGUAGAAGAUUGGACAUGGGGGUCUUGUAGGAGCCUUAUAAGUUCACUCCCCUGAAAAAUAUUAGCUCGGAAUGCCUUUGCAUACCAACUAUCAGUUUGAUAAUAUCAGUACUGGCGUUGUUGCACAAGGGGAAUCUGCUUCCUAAUUGUCUUAUGACAAAAUGUAUAAUUUUGACCUCAAAUCAGGUAGGACUACCCGCUGAACUUAAGCAUAU